AAGACUGUACUCUACACAGGAUCUGUUUUUGAGUUCAUUCGUGUUGGAGAUUACCUACUCUGGCACAAGGCCAAAGCUGGAUGAUGAAGUCGACUAGGCUUGCUGGCAUGAGCAUUGCGAUGAGUGCAGACAAGGAAGCAACCUGGUCACUUACAGCUU